GCGAAAUUAAAAACAAUACCGAAUCGAAAUUUAUUUGAGGACAUAUAGUCUAUAGAGGUCUAAAUUAACAGACUAAUACCUCUUUCUGAAUCCUUUAUCUGAACCUGGUUUACCGUAAAAUACAUUGGGCCAAUCAAACUGUUUAUAUGAUACCUCAAGUAAAUUGCCAUCAGAUUUUACUGGCGAAAGCGAGUCCCUCUGUUAUCAGUUGUUUCGGG
rnacentral:misc_RNA from 1 species